rnacentral:rRNA from 1 species
CGGAGGAUCCAAGCGUUAUCCGGAAUCAUUGGGUUUAAAGGGUCCGUAGGCGGGUUUAUAAGUCAGUGGUGAAAGCCCAUCGCUCAACGAUGGAACGGCCAUUGAUACUGUAGAUCUUGAAUUAUUAGGAAGUAACUAGAAUAUGUAGUGUAGCGGUGAAAUGCUUAGAGAUUACAUGGAAUUCCAAUUGCGAAGGCAGGUUACUACUAAUGGAUUGACGCUGAUGGACGAAAGCGUGGGUAGCGAACAGGAUUAGAUACCCUGGUAGUCCACGCCGUAAACGAUGGAUACUAGCUGUUCGGAGCAAUCUGAGUGGCUAAGCGAAAGUGAUAAGUAUCCCACCUGGGGAGUACGUUCGCAAGAAUG